rnacentral:tRNA from 1 species
CUCCCUGUGGUUCAGUUGGUAGAGCCCGGUGUUUGCAACGCCAGGGUUGUGGGUUCGAUUCCCAUGGGAGG